rnacentral:lncRNA from 1 species
CUGAAUACAGUAGGAGUUAGCUAGCUCAUAGCUAAGAGCUAGCUACGGCCUUUUCCAUCAACUGUCUGCCUGACUGUGGUUGUAUCGUGGCCUAUAGGUACAUUGGGCCCCUGGUGGCCAGGGGGGGCUACGCAGCCUCUUAGUUUGCUUGAUACCUAGGACCGGCCCUGCAAACACGCGUGGAUCUGGUCAUUUAGGUGAAAUGACCCUUUAACUGCGUCACGGUCAAACAUGGCCGGACGUGGCGGCGCGCGGCUGCAGGAGCUAAUCGUUAGCCGUCAACUCACGUCACUUCCGGAGGGAAAACACGAAUCUUUUCGUGUUUCUGUCGCGUGUCUUUGCGGAUGUUGGGCUCCGCAGCCUCGACUCACGUCCCGUCAGUUUCCUCCUCCUCGUCGUCCCUCCAGCGACCCGGGCCUCACCACACUCUCACCCCGGGGGGUUCUAGGAUUGUGGACGUGUUGAACGUCUCGGGGAGGAGGAAAUGUGAACCUGCGAAAAACAUGGCGGACAUGAGAUGCAUGUGAACUGCAGAUGGACGAGCCGAGGGACGAAUGAGGAUCUUUUCCUUCCUCGUUUGCUGCAGCGUGUCGACCGACAGCUAAGCAGCAAAUUGCAUCUUCUUCUUUUUUUCGCACCUGGAACGGGAGAGACCUCUGGGGGAGCUCCACCGCCCCCCCUGCUCAGGUGUCCCUCCUCUGGGGGGCUUUCGGCUUCCCCACCGCCGCCGCCGCUGGUUCUCCCUCCGUUCCCCCGCCGCACAGAGAGGUAUGUGCGGUUUUGUAACUGGAUCGAGACGCUCCGGCCAAACCAAACAACGGGGAAAACCCUAAUCCAAAUUUGCUGUCCGAACAGAUAAGUCAAGUUCUCCUUUUUCUUUCAAGCGUUAUUGGGUUUAUUUCUUUCCCCCCUGUCGGAGUGGACUUAUGUGUCGGGGGAGAAAUGUGCGCUGGGGGUUUUUCCUAACGGCGGGAGCUUGUUUACUUUUCUUUGAUCGUAUCUCUGCCGAGA